rnacentral:rRNA from 1 species
UACAUAGGGUGCGAGCGUUGUCCGGAUUUACUGGGCGUAAAGAGCAUUAAGGCGGUAAUUUAAGUCAAAUUUGAAAGACAGGGGCUCAACUCCUGUUUGGGUUUGAUACUGAAUUGCUGGAGUUUGAGAGAGGAAAGCGGAACUAACAGUGUAGCGGUGAAAUGCGUAGAUAUUGUUAGGAACACCCGUGGCGAAGGCGGCUUUCUGGAUCAAUACUGACGCUGUAAUGCGAGAGCGUGGGGAGC